UACGAAGGGUGCAAGCGUUAGUCGGAAUUACUGGGCGUAAAGCGUGCGUAGGCGGUUUCUUAAGUCCGUUGUGAAAGCCCUGGGCUCAACCUGGGAACUGCAGUGGAUACUGAGAGGCUAGAGUGUGUCAGAGGAUGGUGGAAUUCCCGGUGUAGCGGUGAAAUGCAUAGAGAUCGGGAGGAACAUCAGUGGCGAAGGCGGCCAUCUGGGACAACACUGACGCUGAGGCACGAAAGCGUGGGGAGCAAACAGG
rnacentral:rRNA from 1 species